GACGAACGCUGGCGGCGUGCCUAAUACAUGCAAGUGGGACGCAAGGGAACACACUGUGCUUGCACACCGUGUUUUCUUGAGUCGCGAACGGGUGAGUAACGCGUAGGUAACCUGCCUAUUAGCGGGGGAUAACUAUUGGAAACGAUAGCUAAUACCGCAUAAUAUUAAUUAUUGCAUGAUAAUUGAUUGAAAGAUGCAAGCGCAUCACUAGUAGAUGGACCUGCGUUGUAUUAGCUAGUUGGUAAGGUAAGAGCUUACCAAGGCGACGAUACAUAGCCGACCUGAGAGGGUGAUCGGCCACACUGGGACUGAGACACGGCCCAGACUCCUACGGGAGGCAGCAGUAGGGAAUCUUCGGCAAUGGACGAAAGUCUGACCGAGCAACGCCGCGUGAGUGAAGAAGGUUUGCGGAUCGUAAAGCUCUGUUGUAAGUCAA
rnacentral:rRNA from 1 species